UGUGGCCCUGACCGAAGCUGCAGCCAUUUCCACGCUGCUGCCGUGAUCCGAAAGGAGCCGGCGUGACUUUUCCUUGACGGUCCCUGUUCUGUUUGCUGUAACCGAUCUGUAGCAUCUUGGGAAAAGACAGUC